rnacentral:rRNA from 1 species
AUGGCGGAAGCCUUAACUCUUAAAUUUGGUAUAACAUUGGCGCAAAGGGCGGGAUGUAAUCGCCUUAUUAUUAACUCGGACAACCUGGAGGUGAUUGAUACCAUGAAGAACGGAGGACAGUCGAUGGGUGCGGCGGCGGCAAUUUUCGACGAUUGUUUUCAUUAUGCUUGUGACUUCGUUGCUAGUAGAUUCGAACACUGCAACAGAGAAGCAAAUAAAGUAGCUCAUAAGCUUGCGAGUUUAGCUAGAUUUUCAUUGGUUUCUGAAUGGUUUGAGAAACCUGUAAAUGAAAUUGUAAUGACCCUCACAGACGAUGUACUUUCUAUCUCUAAUGAAUAA